AGAGUUUGAUCCUGGCUCAGGAUGAACGCUAGCUACAGGCUUAACACAUGCAAGUCGAGGGGCAGCAUGAACUUAGCUUGCUAAGUUUGAUGGCGACCGGCGCACGGGUGAGUAACACGUAUCCAACCUGCCGAUGACUCGGGGAUAGCCUUUCGAAAGAAAGAUUAAUACCCGAUGGCAUAAUUCUUCCGCAUGGUAGAACUAUUAAAGAAUUUCGGUCAUCGAUGGGGAUGCGUUCCAUUAGGUUGUUGGCGGGGUAACGGCCCACCAAGCCUUCGAUGGAUAGGGGUUCUGAGAGGAAGGUCCCCCACAUUGGAACUGAGACACGGUCCAAACUCCUACGGGAGGCAGCAGUGAGGAAUAUUGGUCAAUGGGCGAUGGCCUGAACCAGCCAAGUAGCGUGAAGGAUGACUGCCCUAUGGGUUGUAAACUUCUUUUAUAAAGGAAUAAAGUCGGGUAUGCAUACCCGUUUGCAUGUACUUUAUGAAUAAGGAUCGGCUAACUCCGUGCCAGCAGCCGCGGUAAUACGGAGGAUCCGAGCGUUAUCCGGAUUUAUUGGGUUUAAAGGGAGCGUAGGCGGACGCUUAAGUCAGUUGUGAAAGUUUGCGGCUCAACCGUAAAAUUGCAGUUGAUACUGGGUGUCUUGAGUACAGUAGAGGCAGGCGGAAUUCGUGGUGUAGCGGUGAAAUGCUUAGAUAUCACGAAGAACUCCGAUUGCGAAGGCAGCUUGCUGGACUGUAACUGACGCUGAUGCUCGAAAGUGUGGGUAUCAAACAGGAUUAGAUACCCUGGUAGUCCACACAGUAAACGAUGAAUACUCGCUGUUUGCGAUAUACAGUAAGCGGCCAAGCGAAAGCGUUAAGUAUUCCACCUGGGGAGUACGCCGGCAACGGUGAAACUCAAAGGAAUUGACGGGGGCCCGCACAAGCGGAGGAACAUGUGGUUUAA
rnacentral:rRNA from 1 species